rnacentral:rRNA from 1 species
UGCCAGACUCCUACGGGAGGCAGCAGUGAGGAAUAUUGGUCAAUGGCCGGAAGGCUGAACCAGCCAAGCCGCGUGAAGGACGAAGGUGCCAAGCAUUGUAAACUUCUUUUGUCAAGGGACAAAAUCAGGCUCGAGAGCCUGACCGAGGGUACUUGAAGAAAAAGCAUCGGCUAACUCCGUGCCAGCAGCCGCGGUAAUACGGAGGAUGCGAGCGUUAUCCGGAUUUAUUGGGUUUAAAGGGUGCGCAGGCGGAAGAUCAAGUCAGCGGUAAAAUUGAGAGGCCCAACCUCUGCGAGCCGUUGAAACUGGUUUUCUUGAGUGAGUGAGAAGUAUGCGGAAUGCGUGGUGUAGCGGUGAAAUGCAUAGAUAUCACGCAGAACUCCGAUUGCGAAGGCAGCUUACUAAACUAUAACUGACACUGAAGCACGAAAGCGUGGGGAUCAAACAGGAUUAGAUACCCUUGUA